rnacentral:rRNA from 1 species
CAAGCGGUGGAUGAUGUGGUUUAAUUCGAUGCAACGCGAAAAACCUUACCUACCCUUGACAUGUCUGGAAUCCUGAAGAGAUUUGGGAGUGCUCGAAAGAGAGCCAGAACACAGGUGCUGCAUGGCCGUCGUCAGCUCGUGUCGUGAGAUGUUGGGUUAAGUCCCGCAACGAGCGCAACCCUUGUCAUUAGUUGCUACGAAAGGGCACUCUAAUGAGACUGCCGGUGACAAACCGGAGGAAGGUGGGGAUGACGUCAGGUCAUCAUGGCCCUUAUGGGUAGGGCUACACACGUCAUACAAUGGCCGGGACAGAGGGCUGCCAACCCGCGAGGGGGAGCUAAUCCCAGAAACCCGGUCGUAGUCCGGAUCGUAGUCUGCAACUCGACUGCGUGAAGUCGGAAUCGCUAGUAAUCGCGGAUCAGCUUGCCGCGGUGAAUACGUUCCCGGGUCUUGUACACACCGCCCGUCACACCAUGGGAGCGGGUUCUGCCAGAAGUAGUUAGCCUAACCGCAAGGGGGGCGA